UACGUAGGGUGCGAGCGUUGUCCGGAAUUAUUGGGCGUAAAGAGCUUGUAGGCGGUUUGUCGCGUCUGCCGUGAAAAUUCGAGGCUCAACCUCGAACUUGCGGUGGGUACGGGCAGACUAGAGUGUGGUAGGGGAGACUGGAAUUCCUGGUGUAGCGGUGAAAUGCGCAGAUAUCAGGAGGAACACCGGUGGCGAAGGCGGGUCUCUGGGCCGAUACUGACGCUGAGGAGCGAAAGCGUGGGGAGCGAACAGG
rnacentral:rRNA from 1 species